GAUGAACGCUGGCGGCGUGCCUAAUACAUGCAAGUCGAGCGAACAGACGAGGAGCUUGCUCCUCUGACGUUAGCGGCGGACGGGUGAGUAACACGUGGAUAACCUACCUAUAAGACUUGGAUAACUUCGGGAAACCGGAGCUAAUGCCGGAUAAUAUAUUGAACCGCAUGGUUCAAUAGUGAAAGACGGUUUUGCUGUCACUUCUAGAUGGAUCCGCGCCGCAUUAGCUAGUUGGUAAGGUAACGGCUUACCAAGGCGACGAUGCGUAGCCGACCUGAGAGGGUGAUCGGCCACACUGGAACUGAGACACGGUCCAGACUCCUACGGGAGGCAGCAGUAGGGAAUCUUCCGCAAUGGGCGAAAGCCUGACGGAGCAACGCCGCGUGAGUGAUGAAGGUCUUCGGAUCGUAAAACUCUGUUAUUAGGGAAGAACAAAUGUGUAAGUAACUAUGCACGUCUUGACGGUACCUAAUCAGAAAGCCACGGCUAACUACGUG
rnacentral:rRNA from 1 species